rnacentral:sRNA from 1 species
GAGGGGAGGAGCCCGGCAGGGAGGGAGGGUCAGGUGCGUUCCCGGCGGGGCUGAGCAGGACCCCCUCGCCCUCCAGGGGACACCAGGAGAAGAUUCGGCAGCGGCAGUCCAUCCUGCCUCCUCCCCAGGGCCCGGCACCCAUCCCCUUCCAGCACCGCGGCGGGGAUUCCCCGGAGGCCAAGAAUCGCGUGGGCCCGCAGGUGCCACUCAGCGAGCCAGGUAGGCCGAGGGGCUGGAGGGGGCUCCACAGGGCUCAUUGUGGGGGGCUCGGUGAGCAGCCGCCGUGUCCCCCAUCAGGUUUCCGCCGUCGGGAGUCGCAGGAGGAGGAGCCGCGGGCCGUGCUGGCUCAGAAGAUAGAGAAGGAGACGCAAAUCCUCAACUGCGCCCUGGACGACAUCGAGUGGUUUGUGGCCCGGCUGCAGAAGGCGGCCGAGG